GUAAGAAGCUGAUGACUUCGUUGGCACUGGUGUCCGGCUGCAGACGGAGGAAGCAAUUACGUUGAGAAACAGGAUGACGCCACUGAGUGCUAAAACUCACUCUGGAGAGCUAUCAGAUGAUGGAAGUCUUUGAAAACUAGUUGUUCUUAAAAAAAUCAAAAUACGCAGCUGUGCCGCUUACAGCACGACAUCGUUCUUCUACAACACGGGAAAAAGAGAAACUGGUUCAAGUCAUACGACAGGCUGUCCUGUGGGAGAGCUGGAGGAGGAAUCGGACUCAUUGGCAGUCACAAAGGAGGGCUACCCAUACCCGGGUCCCAGGACAUUGGAGGCAGCAGGGACUUCCUUCUGUGUCAAAUAAUAAUCAGAUCACAGGGGCAGACGUGGGGUGCUCAGUGCCUGGUCUCCUCCACUGCAGUUCCGUCUCCGAGGUUAGAUCAUUAUUAUUUUACAUUUACCUUCUUUUGAGUUGUGCCUGUGGAGCAAGCAACAAAUGUCUUCUAAACUCCCGUAGUUUCCUUCCACCUUCCCUCUCCACUUUUCUGCAGCAUUAAUGGCCAGAAAAACAACUAUUGUUUUGACAGCAAGUUCCUAGUAAUAUAUACAGACUUGGUUUUGUAUACAACAAUUAUUUUGAGUUAGUCAGUUUUAAAGAACAGCUAAUAGAGAAAAUCACAUAUAUUUUUUAAAAAUGGUAUAGUUAAACGUUUGGUUUUUCAUCUCUCUCCUUCUCUUGCUGUGAGCAAACACUUAUUUUAAAUGUCACAGAAAGAAAAUGUCCUCAGAGAUUCUUGUCCUUUCAGUUUGAAUGUUGUGGCUGAACUUCUGAGGAAGACUAUUGCAAUAUUUUAUGUUGAGAUUAAAAUGUGAAUUUAUUUCACUUGAAAUUCUCCUGAAACUUCAUGCAUUUCACCUUGGAGAAAUACUUAUAUAGAGAUAAUACAGCUAUUAUGAACUCACUUCAACAAAUGUAACUUGCUCCUCUCAGAACUCCCUGUUUAUAGAGUAUAUCUGGCCAGGAGAUAUUCAAACUUCUAACUUCCUCUUAUGCUAACUAGAACACUGUGUGGGCAGCUGUGUUAGUCAGCAGAAUUACCAAUCCAGGAGAUGAGUAAUGCCUCUUAACAUUUUCCAAAACCUAUGUACACAUGAAUUGCCUUAAUAUUCUCUUAGAUAUUUUUUUGGGAAAUGGGGAAAAUAUGAAAACAUGGAGAAUAUUUAGAACAAGUGUCAAUUUCAAAUGGUUUAAAAAUAAUACAAUGAACUACAUGGGGAUUUCAAUCUGGAAAAUAUAAUAGUUCUGGAAUUUAUAUAUCUCAAUGUCUCAAAAGUUUUACAUUUCAACAAUAAUAGCUGAAGGCUAACCUAAGACGACUGUAGAGCUAAUGGAGGUGGUUGGAAGGGUAUGGUUUCUCUUUUUGUUUUUCAUAGAAUCAAGGACUUUGUUAUUUAAAAUAAUAUGCUCAAGAAUUAACUUGUUACCAUUUAUUUGACAAAACCAAUCUUGAGGCACAUUUAACUAUCAAUUUAGUAUUGAAGCCUUAUGAUUAGGGUUGAUAUAUAAAGUUUUAGGAGAUGAGAGCUUACAAUGUAAUGGAAAGUUAUUAAGGUAAAGAGCAAUUUGAUUUCCUGUUUGUUGGAGUACUUUUCAGAACUUAUUGAUUCUUUUGAACAAAAUACUAUAUCUUUGUGCAUAUCUUCAACCAUUCCUGCAACGAUCCCCUUAUGAUGGCUUCAUAAUGGGUGAAAUGUAUUUCCUACCCUUGACUUUGGAGUUGAUUAUCAGACUUGCUUUAACAAAUAGAAGGAGUCAGGAGUGGCUAUAUGCCAUUUCCAAAUCAAGGAUUUAAGAGGCCUUGCUGGUUUCUUCUCACCCUUUUUCACUUCUGCCCUCAUCAUUAGAAGAACCUGUGCUGGUUAAUCUGCUGAUCGGAAGUGGGCGAGAGGCGCAUGAAGCAGAGCCUCCCAGCGUUACCCACAGAUCUAUAGCAAGGUGCACAUCAGUCCAGACACUGCGCGUGAAACUGCUUCCAGCUGCUCCCUGUGUUCAUCAGCUGAGCCUCACAAAGCUGUGUACGUGCAAUAAGUGAGUGUUGUUUUAAACCACUAGGAUUUGUUUUAACAGCUUUAAGGAGAUACCAUACAAUAAACAGCACAUAUAUAAAGUACA
rnacentral:lncRNA from 1 species